GGCAGACACAAGGAAAGCUCCGCAGACCGCGCGGGCUGCGACCCGGAGGCCUGGAAGCAAGCCUCGCGCCGCUGCCGCAGCGGGGGCGGCCAGCCCCCCUCCCAGGCAGACUGACAUUCCCGGUACCCAAAGGUCGCGCGGGGAGCGCAGGGCGGGGGUGCGCCCGCCCUCCUCCUCCCGGACCCCGGGUCGCAGGCAGCGGCGCACCAACGCUUGCGCAGCGCCCCGUACCCGGGCGGAGGCUGGUCCGGGCGCGCGCAGCGACGCGCUGGGGCCUGGGAGCCUGGAGACACGCGGGGAACCCGGAGACUCACGUACCCGCGGCGCCCCCGGCUGUGCCGCGCCGCUCCCACGGGCCUCCUCCCAGAGAAAGCGUUCCCCGUGUGCCUGCGCGAAGUGCUCGGACCCUGGAUGGGAAGAGACGUCUCUCACUGGCUCCUCACCACUGCACUUUUUGUAUCUGUUCUUGGAGAACGACUGGUCAUUUUAGGCCCGAAUCAAGCCCUUCCUGAUUAACUAAACGGUCAUCAUUCGU